CCUACGGGAGGCUGCAGUGAGGAAUAUUGGUCAAUGGCCGGAAGGCUGAACCAGCCAUGCCGCGUGAAGGUCAGUGCCCUAUGGGCGUUAAACUUCUUUUGUGCGGGAGCAAUAAUGGUCACGUGUGGCCAGACGAGAGUACCGUACGAAUAAGCAUCGGCUAACUCCGUGCCAGCAGCCGCGGUAAUACGGGGGAUGCAAGCGUCAUCCGGAUUUAUUGGGUUUAAAGGGGGCGUAGGCUGUGAGGUAAGUCAGCGGGGAAAUGCCCCCGCUCAACGGGGUGAAGUGCCAUUGAUACUGCCUUGCUGGAAUGCGGAUGCCGUAGGAGGAAUGUGUGGUGUAGCGGUGAAAUGCAUAGAUAUCACACAGAACACCGAUUGCGAAGGCAUCUCACGAAUCCGCGAUUGACGCUGAUGCACGAAAGCGUGGGUAUCAAACAGGAUUAGAUAUCCCAGUAGUC
rnacentral:rRNA from 1 species